rnacentral:lncRNA from 1 species
UUGCAGAGUGUUCUCAUAUCCCAAAACCAGCCCACAGGGCCUUUGUCCUCUUCUUCCAGCACGUCCUGUUCCUGUUGGCAUCCUGUCCUCCUCACCAACCGCUGUCACUGGGCCAGUGGGUCAGUGCAGAGUGCUGACUGGAAACUAAAGAGAAGAAAGCCCCUCAGGAAGGUCAGGUACUUUAGAGGUGGUAUGACGAUCAACCCUGCUUUGAGCUGCGCAAAGACACUGAUGUAAAGGCGUAGGACUGACACAUUGCACGGGGAGGAAUUCACUGGAAUUCCACAGGAUCAGCUGCUUGAGCAGAGUCAGUGGAAGAGGCUCGAAGCAGACGUUGAAUUCCUGCUGCAACCGGUUGGAGAUACUCAGUGCUUAUCAUGUGCCUGGUAUGGUAUCAGGCUCUGGGGAGGCAGAGAGGAAAAGACAAGACAACAGGAACAGUUAAGUUCUAUUUUCUCAGCAAACUUCAGUGAUACAUCACAGUGUCAUCAACUCCGG